ACCCUUCAUCUCCCUUCACAUCCCUUCUUUCAUCAAACGUAUAAAAAAUCAGUCAUGAAUAGAUCAACGUUACAGUUUCUUGACUCAUUCUUUAAGGGAAAACCUUACUCAACUCACAAUUUCACCUUCAAUUCCAAAUUAAAUCCCACCCUUUCAUACGAAUCUGAAUCCAGCCAUUUCAUGUAUCUAUGAAAGCUCUCCUAUGAAUUUAAGGCCACACAAGACCCUCGCCACAAUCCACAGUAACUCAUGUCUUCAGCAAAUUCUUCUUUCUCGACUCCUGUAUUCCUACUUGGUGGUUUCACUCCUCUCUCUCCUUGCCAAUCGGGUAGAUGACGACGCAGAGGCCAAAGGAAAUCGCAAGCUAGCCAUCGGGGCGGUAGAGCUCUUCGGUGUGGGUGAUUAUCUUGAACGGACAGCGGUUCCCCUCAAGCUCUUCAUCUCCGGUAUGGAUUCUUCUUCUUCCACUGCUUCUAGAAGGGAGGAAACGGUAGCUACUCGGACCCGUGAGGCGCCGCCUCAACCAUAGCUUGUGGCGAUUUAGGUUUGGUGUCGGACCUUCGAUCCGAAACCGACGACUGUGGCCGCGGGGCGGGGCGCUCCGUGGUUGGCUCCUCUAACGAUGACCGGUGAUGGCUCUUGAGAUUGUUUGGAGACCCUAGCCUCAAGAAGUCUUGGAAAUUGAAUUUGUGAGCUCACCGGUGUUUGGUGUUUAACGGAGGAGUACCUCUAACCUUUUUCUCUUUUAUGCUUUGAUCUGUGCGUUUGUAGUCUCCAGGCUUACCUUAUUAGGGUAGAAUUCAGUAUAUAUUUUAUUUAUUUUAAAAAGAUAUGAAACGUACCUUAUAUUUUGUUUUUCAUUUUCAUUUUAGUUUGGCAUCUAUUUAAGCUUUCUAGAGUAGAUUGUGGAUACAUUUUAUGGCAGGUGAAUAAUAGCGUUGCUGGUCGAAGAAAAUAUGCAGAGCCUUAAGAAAAGCUUCUAAAAUUUUUAGUUCUGAAUCUUCUUAAAAAUGAACUGGGAGUUACAUCAAGGGAAAUAAAAAGGAUGUGGUUGAAUCCCUAGAGGCGAUGAAUGUGAAAGAAGCUAUAGAGAUGAAAGACAUCAUGGGUCUGAAGGAGUGAAGGGGAAUGGAGUUCUAUGUGUGUACUCUUAGGAAAUUAAUAUCAAAAACAUGUUGUUCAUCUCAAAAGAGAAGAAGAAAGAGCACCAACGAGUUCAGAGUGGAUUGUUUUCUGCUGACAAUCUAUUUCCCAAACAAUUUGAAACUCCAUAUGAUCUAUUAAAGAAUACUUAUCAGCUGAAGAAUCAUAUCGCCUCGCCAGAAGCAACAACAAAAAGAAUGGGCUAGGUCAGGUAUCUCUGAUUCCAGGAAAGUUUGGGCUGACGUAUAUACUAAGAGUAUCAUUUUCGAUUUGAUUACCUAAUGAUUUGUAUGACGUAAAAAAAAAAAAAAAAAAAAAAAAAAAAAAUUUGGUUUGUAGAACCCAAUGAUUUGUAUGACUACAUUUGAAGCUAUAUAAAACAAUGUUUCAAUAGA